UAAUGCUUGGGAAUCUGGCUUAUGGAGGGGGAUAACUACGGGAAACUGUAGCUAAUACCGCAUAGAAUCGGAAGAUGAAAGUGCGGGACCGCAAGGCCGCAUGCCAUGAGAUGAGCCCAAGUGGGAUUAGGUAGUUGGUGGGGUAAAGGCCUACCAAGCCUGCGAUCUCUAGCUGGUCUGAGAGGAUGGCCAGCCACACUGGAACUGAGACACGGUCCAG
rnacentral:rRNA from 1 species